AUUGAACGCUGGCGGCAGGCCUAACACAUGCAAGUCGAGCGGAUGAAGGGAGCUUGCUCCUGGAUUCAGCGGCGGACGGGUGAGUAAUGCCUAGGAAUCUGCCUGGUAGUGGGGGAUAACGUCCGGAAACGGGCGCUAAUACCGCAUACGUCCUGAGGGAGAAAGUGGGGGAUCUUCGGACCUCACGCUAUCAGAUGAUCCUAGGUCGGAUUAGCUAGUUGGUGGGGUAAAGGCCUACCAAGGCGACGAUCCGUAACUGGUCUGAGAGGAUGAUCAGCCACGCUGGAACUGAGACACGGUCCAGACUCCUACGGGAGGCAGCAGUGGGGAAUAUUGGACAAUGGGCGAAAGCAUGAUCCAGCAAUGCCGCGUGUGUGAAGAAGGUAUUCGGAUUGUAAAGCACUUUAAGUUGGGAGGAAGGGCAGUAAGUUAAUACCUUGAUGUUUUGACGUUACCAACAGAAUAAGCACCGGCUAACUUCGUG
rnacentral:rRNA from 1 species